UCAUGGCCGCCGGGGGCUCUCAGCCCCGGGCCCGCGCCCGCCGGAGACACCACGAACUCUGUCUGAUCUAGUGAAGUCUGAGUUGAUUGUAUCGCAAUCAGUUAAAACUUUCAACAAUGGAUCUCUUGGUUCCGGCAUCGAUGAAGAACGCAGCGAAAUGCGAUAACUAGUGUGAAUUGCAGAAUUCCGUGAAUCAUCGAGUCUUUGAACGCACAUUGCGCCCCCUGGUAUUCCGGGGGGCAUGCCUGUCCGAGCGUCAUUGCUGCCCAUCAAGCACGGCUUGUGUGUUGGGUCGUCGUCCCCUCUCCGGGGGGGACGGGCCCCAAAGGCAGCGGCGGCACCGCGUCCGAUCCUCGAGCGUAUGGGGCUUUGUCACCCGCUCUGUAGGCCCGGCCGGCGCUUGCCGAACGCAAAUCAAUCUUUUCCAGGUUGACCUCGGAUCAGGUAGGGAUACCCGCUGAACUUAAGCAUAUCAAUAAG
rnacentral:rRNA from 1 species